rnacentral:rRNA from 1 species
AUUGAACGCUGGCGGCAGGCCUAACACAUGCAAGUCGAGCGGCGGCGGACGGGUGAGUAAUUCCUAGGAAUCUGCCUGGUCGUGGGGGAUAACGUCCGUUCACGGGCGCUAAUACCGCAUCCUCUCAGAUGCGCCUUGGUCGUAUUAGCUUGUGGGUGAGGGAACGGCUUACCUAGGCGACGAUCCCUAGCUGGUCUGAGAGGAUGACCAGCCACACUGGAACUGAGACACGGUCCAGACUCCGACGGGAGGCAGCAGUGGGGAAUAUUGCACAAUGGGCGCAAGCCUGAUGCAGCCAUGCCGCGUGUAUGAAGAAGGCCUUCGGGUUGUAAAGUACUUUUAGCGGGGAGGCGUUACCCGAAGAAGAAGCACCGGCUAACUCCGUGCCAGCAGCCGCGGUAAUUC